GACGAGCCACACGAACGUUAUUCGGAAUUACUGGGCUUAAAGGGUGCGUAGGCGGUGCGGAAAGUUGGGUGUGAAAUCCCUCGGCUCAACCGAGGAACUGCGCCCAAAACUACCGUACUCGAGGAAGAUAGAGGUGAGCGGAACUUACGGUGGAGCGGUGAAAUGCGUUGAUAUCGUAAGGAACACCCGUGGCGAAAGCGGCUCACUGGGUCUUCUCUGACGCUGAUGCACGAAAGCCAGGGGAGCGAACGGG
rnacentral:rRNA from 1 species